rnacentral:tRNA from 1 species
AAUGAAAUGCCUGAAUAAAGGGUUAUCUUGAUAGGGUAAAUCAUGUAAAUUUCCAUUACUUUCAUUG